CUGGCUAGAUUUAGAAUCCCAUGGAUCACACACAAUAGAGAUUUGAUUUUGGUCCAAUCUAUUUAAAUUUAUUAUAAAUUCAAUGGGUUAAUUAAAUUGUUAGCAUAUGAAUUAACCCAAAUUUCCAAUUGGGUUCAGUGCAAAUGUGUUUGUGCUAACCCUUUGCUUGUUGCUUUGACCUAAUGUGAUUGGGUUUGAAUCUAUAUUUAAAUAGAUUGCUGAUUUAGAUUUUAUGGAAGUGUUCCAUGUGUGAUCCAUCUCCUCCAUGCAAAAGCCAUGCAUAAAUUAAUUAUCAUGCCCAAAAUAAAUGGUGAUGAGAAGGAAGAGUCCUUCUCAUCUACUCUUAAUUUUAUUACCAAGUUUCACUCGUUUCUUAUUUUUUGUGCACCAUCUGAUGGUGCUAUGGGAUGUGUGGGCAUGGAAGAGGAGAAGGAGUCCUUUUGGAAGGAACUCCAUGCCAAAUUAAUUUGGACGCCACCUUAUAUUUGGGCGAUGAAAUGGAAGAGUCUAUUUCACUUUGGACUCU
rnacentral:lncRNA from 1 species